UUUUGAGCCAGGUCAUACCAAAAAAGAAAAAGAAAGAACGGAACUCCCCCAACGCCCAACACUCCCCCGCCCCAAAACCCAAAAUCCCCAAAUCCUCAGCCAAAAUCUUCAAACCCUAACCCCCAAUCCCGACCCAACCACCUUUGGCCGGGGUCCUGCCGCAGCGAACUCGACCAUUAUUUUUCAAAAUUUCCAAUCUUCAAUUGCAGGAGAAGAGGAUGAGUGACAGCCUUGCGUAUCCUUCUCACCGUGUUAUUUGGUUCCUUUCUUUUAAAUGCACUACUUUUCCUUUUCUUUCACUUCUAUUGUGUUAACUUUUUUUCCUUUUUGGUAAAGAGGAGGGCUUCUAUGGUAUUAACUUUGUUGCAUUGAAUCACAGUAGAAAGAAUUUCAACUUGAUGUAUUGAAUUAAUAUGAUUUUGCUUCAAGAACUACUAAUUGUCGAUCGGCUUGAAAUUCUUACAUUUGGGAAAGCCUUUAUUAUUUUGUGCAUUGAUCCAACUAGAUUCCGACAUUUCACAUUUUGCAUUAGCGGUCUAAUUUGUGUUUUUCUAGUCUCUAGUUUUUAUUGGAUAUAACUUAUUUCGUUCAUUGUUUGCACAACUUGAUGCUUGAUGAGAAUUCACUAAACUAUUCUUUUAUCUUGCAGUUUGGGGUGCAUCAAGCAUGCAACCAUGCGUUCCAUCUUCAUUGCAUCAUAAUAUGUGUAAAUUCACAGACUUCUCAGUCACAUUGCCCCAUAGCAGGGAGUCGCAAUUCAAAGGAUGAGAGAAAAACUAGAAUCACAUUUGGGAAACUUGUUUGCUUGCUCCCUCUUCAAGUGCAGGGGUUGCCAAUGCAUGCUUGCAAUUGUUUGAUUGUAUAUGGUUUAUAUAUAUCCCUUGUCUCUCUAUUGUGUAUUGGUUGAUGUAAACUGUGAAGUAGCUAAAAGUUUCACUUUUUAAUGAUUUAUUGUAUUCUCUAUAAACCAAUUGUUUGUUUAUUCGGAUUGAUAGGGAUCUCAGUGAUAAUAAAAAUAUUUAUUUACCGGUA